GACGAACGCUGGCGGCGUGCUUAACACAUGCAAGUCGAGCGGAGCGGCGAACGGGUGAGUAACGCUUGAGUAACUGCCCCCCUCUCUGGGUUAACAGUUGGAAACGGCUGCUAAUACCGGAUAGUGGGAGAUGACUCGCGUCCUAUCAGCUUGUUGGUGGGGUAGUGGCCUACCAAGGGGACGACGGGUAGCCGGCCUGGGUGGGGGACCGGCCACAAUGGGCUGAGAUGCGGCCCAAACGCCUACGGGAGGCAGCAGGGGGGAAUAUUGCACAAUGAGGAAAACCCUGAUGCAGCAACGCGCGUGCGGGAUGACGGCUUUCGGGUGGUAAACCGCUUUAAGCCAUGACGCGGUAGUGGCAGAAGAAGCACCGGCUAACUACGUGCCAGCCGCCGCGGUAAUUC
rnacentral:rRNA from 1 species